GACAGACAGACAGACAGACAGACAGACAGACAGACAGACAGACAGAUAGGUUGAUAGACAGAUAGGUAGACAGGUUGAUAGAUAGAUAGAUGGAUAGAUGGAUGGAUGGAUGGAUGGAUGGAUGGAUGGAUGGAUGGAUGGAUGGAUGGAUAGGUAGGUAGGUAGGUAGGUAGAUAGAUAGGUAGGUAGAUAGAUAGAUAGAUAGAUAGAUAGAUAGAUAGAUAGAUAGAUAGAUAGAUCUAACUGAAGACUUAAAUAAGCGGCUGGCACCCCCAAAGGCUUAUGGAAAAUCCCUCUGUUGUUUCCCAAAACAAGUGGCUGGUGAUCAUUGUGACCCCCCAAAAAAAAAAUAUAUAUCUCAGUAUGUAUCUUUAAAUAUGUAGCUGCCAAAAGCCUUAUAGAUAAUCCUUUUACUGCAACAUAUUUUGCUAUAAAGCCUAGACAAUCCUGCUGGAAUGAGGACCCGAAACCCUCAGUGACCGUCAGUCCAAUGCUGUUACCCAAGAUGACUGUCCCUCUUCACUGGAACAACUUGCCAUUAUAUACUGUUAAUGGUUUAGCCUUCACAGUAUUGCUACCUGACAGAAUCGUUUAGCCUUCACAGUAUUGCUGCCUUAAAGAAUCGUUUAGCCUUCACAGUAUUGCUGCCUUAAAGAAUCGUUUAGCCUUCACAGUAUUGCUACCUUAAAGAAUCAUUUAGCCUUCACAGUAUUGCUACCUUAAAGAAUCGUUUAGCCUUCACAGUAUUGCUACCUGACAGAAUUAUAGAAAUGUUAAUGAAGUGAUUUCUGUUUUGAGAGCAGUAUAUAUUUGUGCAUUAUGUAUCAAUAUACAAAAUAAACUGUAUUCAAGUCAA
ensembl:lncRNA